GAUGAACGCUGGCGGUGUGCCUAAUACAUGCAAGUCGAGCGAACAGACGAGGAGCUUGCUCCUCUGACGUUAGCGGCGGACGGGUGAGUAACACGUGGAUAACCUACCUAUAAGACUGGGAUAACUUCGGGAAACCGGAGCUAAUACCGGAUAAUAUAUUGAACCGCAUGGUUCAAUAGUGAAAGACGGUUUUGCUGUCACUUAUAGAUGGAUCCGCGCCGCAUUAGCUAGUUGGUAAGGUAACGGCUUACCAAGGCAACGAUGCGUAGCCGACCUGAGAGGGUGAUCGGCCACACUGGAACUGAGACACGGUCCAGACUCCUACGGGAGGCAGCAGUAGGGAAUCUUCCGCAAUGGGCGAAAGCCUGACGGAGCAACGCCGCGUGAGUGAUGAAGGUCUUCGGAUCGUAAAACUCUGUUAUUAGGGAAGAACAAAUGUGUAAGUAACUAUGCACGUCUUGACGGUACCUAAUCAGAAAGCCGCGGCUAACUACGUG
rnacentral:rRNA from 1 species